rnacentral:rRNA from 1 species
GCGGCGUGCUUAACACAUGCAAGUCGAACGAGGUCCAACCUUCGGGUGAAGACCGAGUGGCGAACGGGUGAGUAACACGUGGGGAACCUGCCCUUCUCUCUGGGAUAACUCCGGGAAACCGGAGCUAAUACCGGAUACUCCUUGCUGACCGCAUGGUCUGCUCGGGAAAGCUCCGGCGGAGAAGGAUGGCCCCGCGGCCCAUUAGCUUGUUGGUGGGGUAACGGCCCACCAAGGCGACGAUGGGUAGCCGAGCUGAGAGGCUGAUCGGCCACACUGGGACUGAGACACGGCCCAGACUCCUACGGGAGGCAGCAGUGGGGAAUCUUGCGCAAUGGGCGAAAGCCUGACGCAGCAACGCCGCGUGCGGGAUGAAGGCUCUCGGGUCGUAAACCGCUUUCAGCAGGGAUGAAAAUGACAGUACCUGCAGAAGAAGCCCCGGCUAAAUACGUGCCAGCAGCCGCGGUAAUACGUAUGGGGCAAGCGUUAUCCGGAUUCAUUGGGCGUAAAGCGCGCGUAGGCGGCUUGUUAAGUCAGGCGUGAAAUCCGGGGGCUCAACCCGCGGCUUGCGUCUGAAACUGGCAGGCUUGAGUCUGGUAAAGGAAAGUGGAAUUCCUGGUGUAGCGGUGAAAUGCGCAGAUAUCAGGAGGAACACCAGUGGCGAAGGCGGCUUUCUGGGCCACGACUGACGCUGAGGCGCGAAAGCUAGGGG